GAGCAGGUGAGAGAGGGGGAGCAGGUGAGAGAGGGGGAGCAGGUGAGGGAGGGGAGCAGGUGAGGGAGGGGAGCAGGUGAGGGAGGGGAGCAGGUGAGGGAGGGGAGCAGGUGAGAGAGGGGUUCUAGGCACCAACUGCGCAGAAGUGGGUGGAGGUUAGCCAUCCCAUUUUAGCUACAUGCAGAAAGGAGCUAGCCUAGAUACAUGUUUAUGAAUUCAUUCGUUCGGGAGGUAAUGGAAUUUCAUGGGAGACAGAUGUGGAAGAUCAGGUGAAUUAAAAGAAAUAGAGUCCGUGAAAGCAGCCUCAGAGCCAGUCCAAAAAAAAAAAAAAAAAAAAAAAAGGUGAGUACGAUCAGGUGUAGGACACGAGAAAAGAUAUUUUCUCUAAAACGAGAAAGCCACAGGACACUCUAAGAUGCUGCUGUCAGAGCCAAGCCGGAACAUCAGUCCUCACGAUCAUGACAAGUCCUGGCGACCUUCCUCUGUGGACUUCGGUUAAAAGGAGAAAAUGCCUGAACUGAAUCAAACACAGAAAUAGGGAAGGUUCUUUUAAAACACUUAAGAAAAAGCAUGGUCCUGCAUUUGCUGGUCCACCCAGCAUGCUCUUGGGCUCCCAGGGGUGUUCUCUGUAAGAAGAGCAGUGAGCUCUGAGGCUUGUACGGGGUACCAGCCCAAGGAAACUGGUCCUCGGGCACCAGAGACUGAGCUGGGUCCACCUAACUGGUGUGAGGUCAAAAGAAGGGACUAGCCAACCAUGGGGCUGCAUACUCCAAAACAAGAACUGCGGGAGCCAGGAAACACACCUUUCAACCGGAACCGGAAACACACCUUUCAACCGGAACCGGAAACACACCUUUCAACCGGAACCCCAGCGCGGGCGUUCACGCCUGAGCUGCACCAUAACAACUGCACCUUAAGCCGACAUCAGAGAGAAUGAGCGAGGACUGAGAAAGAGAGAACAAGAGAGCUAUGCUCUGUCUCAGCAGUCUUCAGAGUCCUGCACACUGAUGGCAGCCUUUGGGUUAUAUUCCUGGGACAUUGCUUAAUCAUUGACUACAGUUACGGCCCUUUAGAGCAGCGUGUAAAUCCGUUUCUCCUCAAAGGAAAGCCAGGCAUCUCUAGCCAGAUCUUGAGUUUAAAUUCCAGGUUCAUCUGUCAAACUCAAAAAUAAAAAAUAAAAAAAGAAAGGAAAGGAAGAGAGAGAGACAGACAGACAGAAAGAAAGAAAGAAAGAAAGAAAGAAAGAAAGAAAGAAAGAAAGAAAGAAAGAAAGACCUUGAGCGGACUGUUGCAGAAAUCAGUUGACAAAUACAGGCAGGCAAGAACCUUUUCCCACCCUAUCCCCUUACCGUGUUCUCUGGGUACCUGAUGAACCUGGCAACCAUCAUUCAUUCCGAGGUCCUUUUUUAUUGUCUCCCCAACCAGCGCUGGGUACUUCAAAGGCAGAAACUGUGCUUCAGUUUUUGAAUUCCUGGACUCUAGCUCUAGGCUUUGAGAUGGUUUGCAUGUAAAAUGGCCCUUACGGGAUCAUGCAUUUGAACGCUUGGUUCCUAGUUAUUAUUUGGAACAUUCAGGAAGUGGGGUUGAGUUGCUGGAAGUAGGCUGUAGAAAGUGAACCCGGUUUUCACCCAAUUCUUCCCCUAACUGCUGGUGCAAUAUAACCAACUACCUCACACUCUCUGUCGUGGCUUUAGCACCACUACAGGUCUUUCUCACCAUGAUCAACAGACCAAACCAUAAGCCCAAUUACUUCUUGUUUCUUUAAGGUUUGUUUGUUUGUUUGUUUGUUUGAGGGGAGGGUUAGGUAUUUUUGUGACAGCAAUAAAGGAAGUUUCUCACACUGGGCACCAUACAAUAAAUCAACUUGAAAAUAUCUAACAAAUGAAUAAAAGUUGCUAGAAUGAUAUUCAUUGCUAGAGGCGCCCUGAAAAGGAGUUAGAUAGUCUUGUAUAGACCCUUUAGCUGGCUGCACACUAGAGCUCUAAACCUCAGGCUUUUGAGCAUUUCCCCCAUGGGGUCUGUGCCUGCUUCCCCACCCCCCCUCAGGCUCAGCCACAGCAGUAGAAGCCAUCUUUCUCAGCGUCUAACCCUGCCUUGUUCCAGGCUGACUCCUCACUCGUACUGGAACCCCGUUUUUGCCAUCCUGUGUGUUGAUGUGUUGAUGUGUUGAGGUCAAACUGAGUGAAGUGAGCUCACAAAGAGCUGAUGUCAAAUUCCUCCGCAUACUCCCCUCUGAGAUGAUCGCAAGAUGAACCAAUGGUAGCCAAUGUGGUAUCUGUCCUGUUUAUGUAUUAGACUCUGCCUUACAAUGUCCAGGAGGUCACAGGAGAUGCUGUCAUGUCCCUCUUAGACUGUGCACUCAAGAAAUGCCCUUAGAUGAAGAGAGCCGCCUAGCACAUGACCCUAACCCUUCUCACAGACUGCCCUUGAGCAAAGGCUGAUGAUCAAUGUAGGCUCGAAAGGCCUGGCCUCUCCAUACCAUUUGCCAAUCGUUGAACAGCCAUUCAAAUUCCAGAGCUGCCAACAGAAAUGAUAAGGAGUUGUGGGGUGUGUGUGUGUGUGUGUGUGUGUGUGUGUGUGUGGCCUAGUCUUGCUCUGUAGCCCAGGCUGGCCCCAAGCCCAUGAUUCUUCUGCCACACCAUUCUGAGAGCAGUGAGUAUAUGCAUGGGCCACCAUACCAGCUGUAGAUUAUGAUUAUUUUUAAAUUUCACUGAGAAUGGCAUCAAAACUUCUUGGCCUUCCAGGUGGUGGUUCCCUGCUAGCCCCACAGUUGUUUGAAAAGAAAAAGAAAACACAAAAACAAAAACAAAAACGAAAAAACCCUUCCAAUAAUGUCUCACUUACUUCAUGUUUACCUAGAAACUUGGCUCAUGAAAGAAUGCUGUCUACACUUCAGGACCACCCCUGCUGCCAGAUCUGGCUUAGUUUCAGCCAGUUUGGUAGUGUCAGGUCUUUGUUAAGACUGUCCCAGAUCCUCCUACUAAGAGCGGGACUCUUACCUUAAGAAGAGUUCUCAUUUAGUAGCAGGUCAGGCCAAUGAAGCGUUUGUGCACAGAAUCAAUCAACUGGCUACGGGCCUGGAGUUUGAUCAGC
rnacentral:lncRNA from 1 species